rnacentral:tRNA from 1 species
CAUUAAAUAGCUUAAAUUCCAAAGCAAAAGCCUCUUAAGCUAUUAGAUACAAAAAAUCGUUUUAAUGA